GCAGAGCAUUUGCAGAGCGAGAGGGGAGCUUGGGCUCAGGUAGAUCUCAGAAACCCUGGCUGAAGUAGCUACGGUAAACUACUUUGAAAGAUGGAGAUGGGGCAGACAAUGACCUUGUCCUCCAGCAGGACACUGACCACCAGGAAGACGAUGUAGAGCAGGAACAUGAUGAAGCCCAGCAGUUUGCUCAUCCUCCACUUGCAGGCGGCGAUGGAGAUGAUGACGAAGAGGAGCAUGAGGAAGAGCAGCACAAUGGCGCAGAACAGCCCGUUACUGCUCACCUGCACCGGGACCAUCCCGUUCGCCAUCGAGAACAGCAGCCACGGGAACGUGUGCAGCUCCACUUGGAUGAUGUGACGGCAGCCACAGGACAGCCUCGCCAGUGCUUGACCACACACCAGAUGAUAGGGAGGCCAUGAUGGGUAAGGUUACACCCCUCAUCUUUACCAGAAGUGCCAUGGGAUUAUUUAUGACCACAGAGAGUCAGGACCACAGUUUAACAUCUCAUCCGAAAUGUAUAGACAGUAUACUGUCCCCUUGGCUACACAUUAGGACUCACACAGACCACAGGUUGAGCGCCCCCUGCUGGCCUCACUAACAGCAACCUAAUUUUCCUAUGUGGUCUCCCAUCCAGGUACUAACCCGACUCAGCCCUGCUUAGCUUCAUUGAGUAACCGCUCUUGGGCUGCAGGGUGAUCUGGCUGAGGCUGUCGUCAAUUUAAACAAUAUAUAAGGGCUAAAACAAUAUGUGAAGAUUACAUGAAGUUAAUUUGCCAUUUUAACUCAUUUCUUAAUAGGAUUUGUCUCUACACAGCAUUCACAUCCAGAGUAUUUGAAGUCAGAUUGAAGCUAGGAGUUCCCUAAAUAAUAACACACAAGUUCUCUAGUGAUUGUGACGU